rnacentral:rRNA from 1 species
CGGAAACGAUCCUAGCUUGCUAGGAGGCGUCGAGCGGCGGACGGGUGAGUAACGCAUAGGAAUCUGCCCGGUAGUGGGGGAUAACCUGGGGAAACCCAGGCUAAUACCGCAUACGUCCUACGGGAGAAAGCAGGGGCUCUUCGGACCUUGCGCUAUCGGAUGAGCCUAUGUCGGAUUAGCUGGUUGGUGAGGUAAUGGCUCACCAAGGCGACGAUCCGUAGCUGGUCUGAGAGGAUGAUCAGCCACAUCGGGACUGAGACACGGCCCGAACUCCUACGGGAGGCAGCAGUGGGGAAUAUUGGACAAUGGGCGCAAGCCUGAUCCAGCCAUGCCGCGUGUGUGAAGAAGGCCCUCGGGUUGUAAAGCACUUUCAGUGGGGAAGAAAUCCUCGGGGCUAAUACCCCCGAGGGAGGACAUCACCCACAGAAGAAGCACCGGCUAACUCCGUGCCAGCAGCCGCGGUAAUACGGAGGGUGCGAGCGUUAAUCGGAAUUACUGGGCGUAAAGCGCGCGUAGGCGGCCUGAUAAGCCGGUUGUGAAAGCCCCGGGCUCAACCUGGGAACGGCAUCCGGAACUGUCAGGCUAGAGUGCAGGAGAGGAAGGUAGAAUUCCCGGUGUAGCGGUGAAAUGCGUAGAGAUCGGGAGGAAUACCAGUGGCGAAGGCGGCCUUCUGGACUGACACUGACGCUGAGGUGCGAAAGCGUGGGUAGCAAACAGGAUUAGAUACCCUGGUAGUCCACGCCGUAAACGAUGUCGACUAGCCGUUGGG